AGUGAUUCUUUUACUCCUUAACUGAACAAAGGCACAAUCACUUUUCAUCUUUGUGUUACCAAGAAGAAAAUAGAGAACAACAACUAUAUAUCAACUGUCUUCUGAUGGGUACCAUGUUAGACAUUUACUAUGUACUUUGAUCAGCACAGAACUCCUCUAAGCUCUAUAUCAGUAUCCCCAUUUUGCAGACAAGAAAAUGGAGACUCAGAAAAUUAAGUCACUUGUCCAAGGCCCCACAACCAGAGACCAGCAGUUCUGGGACUGGAAGCCAUUCUGGCUGACCCUGAAGGCUAUGCACGUCCUCCUGCAGGCAAUGCUGCUGACAAAGGCUAACCUCAGAUUGCUGAAGGACAAUUAUCAUGGUCUUUCUUAGUCCUCACAGUUGUAUUCUGAUCAGCAGACCUCGUUAUCGGUGUCCCAGUGAUAAUUCAGAAAUGGAAAUAAAUAAACACAGGCCCGAGUACAAGUUCUAAGCAAGAGAAAGUCAAAAGCUGAGAUGUAUUUGAUUUCCUCCCGCUAGUAAGAAGGGCCAUGAAGUCAGUGUUGUAGGAAAGUUGGGACAGAAGCUUCUGAAGCAGUACUGCAUGCAGUAAGCUUUCGAUGAGGUCACCCAUGGAGGAGGGGUACAGGUGCAUCUUUGUCUGAAGGACUGGCAGUUCUUUUCAAGAUGAGAGUGUGAAAGAAUGUGACCAAAUUCCUGAAAUACCAGUGAGGGACAACAGGCAUGCCCGGCAACAGCAAUGGAGCGGGUGGUUCCCAAGAGUGCAGCCCAGGGCUGGCCACAGGGCCUUACUGGGCUCUGCCUGGGAUUUCAUCUCCAGUGGAGGCACAUGACAAAGAUUGGCUUUUGAGAGGCACUGUUGAAGAGACUGAUGUAUAUGAGCUCAUUUUCUUUUCCCCACAGCCCAAAGAGCAUCCGCAGGGAGAAGCUCUGGAGCCAGCAGUGCUCUUUUUGUUCUGUAGCUGAAGAAACCAUGCCAAGGAUGACCAACAGGCAGACUUCAGCAUGGAGACCGACCUCCAUCCAACUGAUGAAUGGGAGUCUACCAUCUGACGCUCUGCAUCCACAGACCCAGCUAUGGGUCCCUUUCCUAUUACACCAUUGACUUAAGGCCACAGGGAUCUAGUGCAAUAAGUCAUUUAUGAAAAUAUGUAAAUCAGAUAACCAAUAGAAUAUCAGGCUAAAGCUGGCUUCUGUUGCCAUGACACCUCACUCUCAUGGGCUUGGUCAGUGGCGUCAGGGUAACUGAACUUCACUGCUCUGGGACCUUAGGACAAUAUUCCCGCCCACCUCCUCUCAUGCCCCCUGGUGAAUCCAGAUGAAUUCUAGAAUGUGUUCCAGCCACUGCUAGCUGGAGGGAAUCACCUCCGACUUAGGAAAGUAUUGAGAUCUAGGGACAGGGCAACCUCAGCUCCACAAAAGCCCACAAUUCCAUUGUCUGGGCAGAGACUGCAGGCCCUCCGUUUCUCCUCUGGGUUGUUGAGAGAAUGCCUGAGAGGAGGUGAGAGAUGGAGAGGAUGUGGAGGGGGAAUGAGCUCCCCAGCAGGGUUGGCUCCCUCUGUUGGGCCAUGUACCUGGGGCUACUCUGGUCAUGGGCAAGAAGCAGGAUGUAAGUCUCUCCUAACUCCCCUGAGAUCUCUGGGGCAGGGGUGGGGAGAGGGAAGGUGGUCUCACCAGUGAGAGCUGGCCUACCGUUGUACACCAGGCCCCAUCCUACAAUUCAAUGCAGCAGACAGCUGCCUCUGGGAUGUGACUAAACAGA